UACAGGGGGGGCAAGCGUUGUUCGGAAUUACUGGGCGUAAAGGGCCAGUAGGCGGCCAACUAAGUCACACGUGAAAUCCCCAGGCUUAACCUGGGAACUGCGUGUGAUACUGGAUGGCUUGAAUUCGGGAGAGGGAUGCAGAAUUCCAGGUGUAGCGGUGAAAUGCGUAGAUAUCUGGAGGAAUACCGGUGGCGAAGGCGGCAGCCUGGACCGACAUUGACGCUGAACGGCGAAAGCUAGGGGAGCAAACGGG
rnacentral:rRNA from 1 species